UUACCAAACUGUUGCCUCGGCGGGAUCUUCUGCCCCGGGUGCGUCGCAGCCCCGGACCAAGGCGCCCGCCGGAGGAAUCAACCAAAACUCUUAUUGUAUACCCCCUCGCGGGUUUUUUUUAUAAUCUGAGCCUUCUCGGCGCCUCUCGUAGGCGUUUCGAAAAUGAAUCAAAACUUUCAACAACGGAUCUCUUGGUUCUGGCAUCGAUGAAGAACGCAGCGAAAUGCGAUAAGUAAUGUGAAUUGCAGAAUUCAGUGAAUCAUCGAAUCUUUGAACGCACAUUGCGCCCGCCAGUAUUCUGGCGGGCAUGCCUGUCCGAGCGUCAUUUCAACCCUCGAACCCCUCCGGGGGGUCGGCGUUGGGGAUCGGCCUUCCUUCACGGGGGCCGUCUCCGAAAUACAGUGGCGGUCUCGCCGCAGCCUCUCCUGCGCAGUAGUUUGCACAACUCGCAUCGGGAGCGCGGCGCGUCCACAGCCGUUAAACACCCAACUUCUGAAAUGUUGACCUCGGAUCAGGUAGGAAUACCCGCUGAACUUAAGCAUAU
rnacentral:rRNA from 1 species